rnacentral:rRNA from 1 species
GGGUGGCANGNGGCGGACGGGUGAGGAAUACAUGGGAAUCUACCCUGUCGUGGGGGAUAACGUAGGGAAACUUACGCUAAUACCGCAUACGACCGAGAGGUGAAAACGGCGGACCGCAAGGCGUCGCGCGGCUGGAUGAGCCCAUGUCGUAUUAGCUAGUUGGCGGGGUAAAGGCCCACCAAGGCGACGAUCCGUAGCUGGUCUGAGAGGAUGAUCAGCCACACUGGAACUGAGACACGGUCCAGACUCCUACGGGAGGCAGCAGUGGGGAAUAUUGGACAAUGGGCGCAAGCCUGAUCCAGCAAUGCCGCGUGGGUGAAGAAGGCCUUCGGGUUGUAAAGCCCUUUUGUACGGGAAGAAUCCUGUCGGUUAAUACCCGGCGGGGAUGACGGUACCGUAAGAAUAAGCACCGGCUAACUUCGUGCCAGCAGCCGCGGUAAUACGAAAGGGUGCAAGCGUUAAUCGGGAAUUACUGGGCGUAAAGCGUGCGUAAGCCGNUUGGCUAANUCAGAUGUGAAAGCCCUGGNCUCAACCUGGGAAUGGCAUUUGAACUGGCUGGCUAAAGUGUGGUAAAGAUG